UGUUAUGAAAGAACACGCUCUCAACCAAAGUGCCAUCACAACAGACACCUACAUCCAGAGGUGUGCUUCUGCAACAGAGUGCACACUUCCUUCGCAUCCUGGAAGCUGAGGAUUUGCAUUAUCUCGGAGCUCUGUGCCAGGAUCUGCUAUGGUCUGGUUACCUGCCUGGCAUUAUGAUAUUCUCAGAACUGCGUUUUCACUUUUUAUUGCACCUGAGAGAUCUUGUUACUCAGUACCUAUUGUGCAUGCAUCGCAUUUUCAUCAGUAUUAGUUUUCCUUAUUUAUGUGAUCACAUGCAAGACAUAAGAGGGGGCAUAAGAACUGAACUCUGCACCAGGAAAGCCCUGCUGCCAGCAUUCCAGCAUGACCCUCUCUGAGGUGAAAAAAGCAGGGACAGAGCCCCUUGGCAGCUCUUCACAAAAGCCCCCAGUGAAUGGAGAAGCAUUAUUGUGUUACCCCAGGCUGACAGUAGCUCUCUGAGUUUACCCAGGCCCAAAAUAAAUGGAGCUGAUGAC